rnacentral:rRNA from 1 species
GACGAACGCUGGCGGCGUGCUUAACACAUGCAAGUCGAACGGUAAGGCCCUUCGGGGUACACGAGUGGCGAACGGGUGAGUAACACGUGGGUGAUCUGCCCUGCACUUCGGGAUAAGCCUGGGAAACUGGGUCUAAUACCGGAUAGGACCACUGCCUGCAUGGGUGGUGGUGGAAAGCUUUUGCGGUGUGGGAUGGGCCCGCGGCCUAUCAGCUUGUUGGUGGGGUGAUGGCCUACCAAGGCGACGACGGGUAGCCGGCCUGAGAGGGUGACCGGCCACACUGGGACUGAGAUACGGCCCAGACUCCUACGGGAGGCAGCAGUGGGGGAUAUUGCACAAUGGGCGCAAGCCUGAUGCAGCGGCGCCGCGUGAGGGAUGACGGCCUUCGGGUUGUAAACCUCUUUCAGCAUCGACGAAGCGAAAGUGACGGUAGGUGCAGAAGAAGGACCGGCCAACUACGUGCCAGCCGCCGCAGUAA